rnacentral:rRNA from 1 species
GGGGGAAUAUUGCACAAUGGGGGAAACCCUGAUGCAGCAACGCCGCGUGAAGGAAGACGGUUUUCGGAUUGUAAACUUCUAUCAAUAGGGACGAAGAAAGUGACUGUACCUAAAUAAGAAGCCCCGGCUAACUACGUGCCAGCAGCCGCGGUAAUACGUAGGGGGCAAGCGUUAUCCGGAAUUACUGGGUGUAAAGGGCGAGUAGGCGGCAUGGCAAGUAAGAUGUGAAAGCCCGAGGCUUAACCUCGGGAUUGCAUUUUAAACUGCUAAGCUAGAGUACAGGAGAGGAAAGCGGAAUUCCUAGUGUAGCGGUGAAAUGCGUAGAUAUUAGGAAGAACACCAGUGGCGAAGGCGGCUUUCUGGACUGGAAACUGACGCUGAGGCACGAAAGCGUGGGGAGCGAACAGGAUUAGAUACCC